rnacentral:rRNA from 1 species
GGGCGUAAAGAGCUCGUAGGCGGUUUGUCGCGUCUGCUGUGAAAUCCCGAGGCUCAACCUCGGGCCUGCAGUGGGUACGAGCAACCUAGAGUGUGGUAGGGGAGAUUGGAACUCCUGGUGUAGCGGUGGAAUGCGCAGAUAUCAGGAAGAACACCGAUGGCGAAGGCAGAUCUCUGGGCCAUUACUGACGCUGAGGAGCGAAAGCGUGGGGAGCGAACAGGAUUAGAUACCCUGGUAGUCCACGCCGUAAACGUUGGGAACUAGAUGUAGGGUCCAUUCCACGGAUUCUGUGUCGCAGCUAACGCAUUAAGUUCCCCGCCUGGGGAGUACGGCCGCAAGGCUAAAACUCAAAGGAAUUGACGGGGGCCCACACAAGCGGCGGAGCAUGCGGAUUAAUACGAUGCAACGCGAAGAACCUUACCAAGGCUUGACAUAUACCGGAAAAGCGUAGAAAUACGCUCCCCGCAAGGUCGGUAUACAGGUGGUGCAUGGUUGUCGUCAGCUCGUGUCGUGAGAUGUUGGGUUAAGUCCCGCAACGAGCGCAACCCUCGUCCUAUGUUGCCAGCACGUAAUGGUGGGAACUCAUGGGAGACUGCCGGGGUCAACUCGGAGGAAGGUAAU